rnacentral:lncRNA from 1 species
CUAUACAUGACCAAAAUUAAAAGACAACAUAAGAUAUACUAAAAAAAUUAAGAAGUUUCCUGAAGCAGCUCGUGCCUGCAAUGGUCGUGACUAGAAUGGUCAUGGGGCAUUUGUAUCCAUACCUGAUGGAAAAGUAAAAUCAAAUAGAGUUAGUGACCGAAGACACAUGUGAUUCCACGACUCCUACUAGUGGAAAGAUGCAAGACACGAUUUGGCUAUAUUUUACAAAAUGACUUGAGUGAUUGAAAGUGGCUAUUAGUGCAAACUUGACAAAAUUGACCCCGUAAUGCAUGAAAAAUAAUCCAUUUAAAACUUGCAAGACUCAUUGACUGUAACAUAUCAACAAUCAUGGCCUUAAAAAAUGACUUUGCGAAAAUGGACCAUUUUGUAAAAAAGGCCUACAUGGCCAAAUGUGGCUAAAAAUGCAAACUCAAAAAGGAUGGAACUUAAAGUAAUAUGACAUCUAAUUGUGGUCUCAAGAUCCUAAGACAUGGGUUAUUGAAUCACUUUUGCGAAAAUGACCUCAUUUUGCAACAAUGGCCGAUAUCGCCACAAGUGGCUAGACAAGCAAGAUUUGGCUAAGACCCCGCAAAGCCAAGAACCUAAGACUAGGAAGACCGAAGCCUAUAUGGGUUGCCUAUGUAUUUCAUUCCGAAAGACGAGAAUCAGGUUUGCGUAGGUCGGGAAGAUUAAAUAUAGGAUAGAAUUCAAAAAAUGCAUCUAAUUUGAAAAAGAAAGUAUUUUAGUUUUUUUGGAAAAAAUGAUGGAAAAUGCAACAUCUUUUUCAUUUUCUGUUUCUUUUUUUUUUUUGAAAAAUGAUGGGAAAAUAUAAAACCUUUCAUUUGGAUUUUUUGGAAAAUAAUGGGAAAACGUAAAAGACUUUUUUGGAUUUUCUUUUCUUUUUUUUAUUUUGUUGCCCUUUUUAGAAGAUAAAGGAAAAGUGUAAAAAUAUUUUUGAAUUUUUUAUUUUUUGAAAAUAAAGAAAAAGUAUAAAAUCUUUUUUUGGAUUUUCAUUUUCUACUUUUUGAAUUUUGAAAAAUAAUAUAAAAUCUUUUUGGAUCUUUCAUUUUCUACUUUUUUCUUUGAAAAAUAAUGGAGGAGUGUAAAAUCUUUUGGAUUUUUCAUUUGUACUUUUUUUUGGAAUUUUUGAAAAAUAAUGGAAGAGUGUAAAAUCUUUUUGGAUUUUCUAAUUUUCAAAUUUUUUGAUUUUUGGAAAACUGUGAAAGAAAAAUGUGGGUGGGCCCUACUUUCUUUUUUUUUCACCCUUCUUUCCCAAACAUCGAUUCGCCAAAUGACGUUUUUACCCUCAAAGAUGCAACAUUUAGCACAUAGGAUGUGUAAAUGUCAUUUUGGGCCACUGACCCAUUUUGACAAAAUUUGGACAGGCUCCUUACAAAGGGACACUGUACCUAAGACCGAGCCCUACUAGGUAUGAAUGACAUGAUGCGUAUAAAAUGACCUAAAGGCUGACCUAAGUUUGGGGUUCACUAACAAGGCAAUUCGGGGCGGCACGUGGUCGAUGGCGGCUGCUCUAGCUGUCCGCCCAUUCCACGCUCCCACGCCACCCCCUUGAAGACACGGGUGACUCACAAAAAGACCGUGUCCGCUCAAACGUACUCCGGAACACUUGUUGUAGAAAGAAGACACAUGGUUAUGCACAAUGAUGAUAAUUUAUAAAGUAGUAACAGAUAAAAGAAAAACUGUAAACAAAUAAGCAGCUAGCAAAUAAUAAAAAGACAUAAACAAAACAAAAAUCAAAUAAAACAAACAAAACACAUAAAACCCUCAACCAAAAAUCCUAAAAGCCAACAAGAUCAAGUACUAGCUCGAACCCGCAAGUCCCCAGCAGAGAAGCCAGAGAUGUCACACCCGUUUUUAAUCAAAAAAACCCCACUAAACCCUCUUAUAAUUAAUAAAAGGAUUUAAAUAAAGUAUGAAAAGGGUUUUUCAAUUUUGAAAGUGACAAUAAUUUGUUUCAAAAUGGAAGAAACUCAGAGUCGCCACCUGGCAUUUGAUUUCGGUGUGCUAGGCCAUCGUUUUUUUAUAAAAAAAUUUCCUUUGAAAACACUUGAGACUCUAAAACUAAGUCCGCACCAGAGAUUCGGGUGAGGUGGUUCAUUUGACUCGGGGAGAAGGUGUUAGACACUCUCCAAGUCUCGUGAAGGUCACGGUUGCAUACUCGACUCAAUUGGCUUUUAGAAUAUUUGAAUUAAGAAAAACAAACAGAGAAAAGAAAAACAAACACACAAGAGGUCUGAGGUCGCUCCCGCCCAAUAAAAGGAAAAUAAAACCAUAACUAAAAAUACUAUGAGUUUCAAUUUAGGCCUCCAAAUACAAGUACUUCGGGGCAUUUCCCGGAAUAAGAUACGUACAAAUCCCUCGGGGCAUUCCCCCGAUAAAUUUAACUACAGAAACGACCUCUCGUCUCAAUACUAACAAAAAUCUUAAAGCUUGCCUUGCUAAGUGAUCGGCCUAAACACACAACUAGCGGACAAUAAAAAUAACCCAAAAUAAAAUAGAACUAAAUAAAAUUUAAAUUGAAUUCUUGUUCAUGUGUUAAGAACCUUAAAUGUUCUUCUAAUGAUCAAAAAGGUAAUAAUGCAAGAGUUAAACGUUUCUUUCCUUAGCAUUUCAAUUCCCACUAUACAUUUUCAAUUAAUCACCACUGUCUGACUUCUCUUUCGUCCUAUGUCUCCAUAUUUUUCUUAAUCAACAAUAACAAAAGGGAAAUUAGUUCAAACUAAUGAGAAUCAAACGCAAAGAAUCAAACAACCAAACAUAAACUCACAAAUGCACGUUAAACUGAUAUCACAACAUAAAUAUGGAGAAUAAGAUUAGGUACGAUCCAUUAAAGGCAAGAAACAAAAAAAGGGUGAGAAAUUGACCUUAACGAGCAGAUCUCUCGAUCAAUUACAGCAACAACGUAUGAACAUGAGCGGGGACUCGAGUUCAACCGCAAAACCUUGAACGGCACGAACACGACAAAUUCGACGGAACUCUCAACCUCGCCGGAGAACACUUUUUUUUUAAUUCUGUCCAAAGCCGCCUAGAUUCCCUUCAUUUCUGUGGAUGUAUUGUGAUCGCCGGAAUUGGUUGGACGUUUAGAGUGAAGUUAGGGUGUUCUAAGGUGC